UACGUAGGGUCCGAGCGUUGUCCGGAAUUACUGGGCGUAAAGCGCGCGCAGGCGGCGGUGCUGGCCCGGCGUGAAAGCCCCCGGCUCAACCGGGGAGGGUCGUCGGGGACCGCACCGCUUGAGGGCGGUAGGGGCUGGUGGAAUGCCUGGUGUAGUGGUGAAAUGCGUAGAGAUCAGGCGGAACACCCGUGGCGAAGGCGGCCAGCUGGGCCGUCCCUGACGCUGAGGCGCGAAGGCGUGGGGAGCGAACGGG
rnacentral:rRNA from 1 species